UACGUAGGGCGCAAGCGUUAUCCGGAAUUAUUGGGCGUAAAGAGCUCGUAGGCGGUUUGUCGCGUCUGCUGUGAAAGACCGGGGCUCAACUCCGGUUCUGCAGUGGGUACGGGCAGACUAGAGUGAUGUAGGGGAGACUGGAAUUCCUGGUGUAGCGGUGAAAUGCGCAGAUAUCAGGAGGAACACCGGUGGCGAAGGCGGGUCUCUGGGCCGAAACUGACGCUGAGGAGCGAAAGCGUGGGGAGCGAACAGG
rnacentral:rRNA from 1 species